AUGACAUUCCCAUGGGAAAUAAUGAGCAAGAGAGGUCUCAAGUCCCGGUUCAGGUGCAAGACAAUGAAGACCUUGAAUUAUCUAGGGUUGACCAGUUGUUAUAGAGAGGAUUUCAGGUCCGUAGGAGUGAGAGGCUGGCGGGAAAGAAAGAGGCCACUUCUGGGAAAAGAAAUGCCUUCCUGGGGUGCUUUUAAAAGUGUGUGUUUGCAGAUAGCUCGUCAUCAAAGCAAAUUGUCGCUUCAUCUGUGUGGAUGCUCUUGUUUCAUGCCUAAAAGAAGUUUCCUGGAUCUUUGUACUGUUGGGCCUUUGUUUUUGAGUGUGACAAAGAAGAAUAAAAACUUUGAAUAUAUUGUGGUUAAUUUAUAUCUGGAGAGACAACAUAUUGUGUAAUUUGAGAUAUCUGAAGAUAAGGGUUUGAAUCCUUGUUUGGCCAUUGCGAGAAAAGUAUGAAAAUUUCACACAUUUUAGACUGGAUUUUAUUAAAGGUUGCAAAAUUUGUAGAAGGAAGAGAAAAUCUAUUGAAUCCCCAUUGUAAAAUAAAGAGACGAGACACAAGGUAUAUGGAGAAAUAAAGGGCCAUUUAUUGACCUAUUAAAAACUGGAAAAUGCAACUAAGGAACUAGUUGGGCGGGGAGCACUGUGACAUGGGCAAUGGCCUGAGGCCAGGUAUAUCUGACUACCUGUCAAGCCAACCUCUGGGAGAAGCAUAUGACCCCAGGAGCACUCCACACUGAUGGUUUGCUAUCCUGGCUGGUCAUUAUUAGAAGGCCCUCCCUAGGGCUCUCCCUCCCAGGUCCCAGAACCCAAUAGGAGAGAGGUAAGCCCCCCAGGUAAGCCCCAAAGAAGAUAUUUUGGGGGACCCCUUAAGCCAUAGAACCUAUAGAAGUCAUCUCAAAAAUCCCCAUUCACCUCAAAAGAGAGAGAUGCUAAUAUGCACACUGAUCCAUUUUCUCCCCCCCACUUCCUGCCACAAAAAGACUCAGGCAUCUGCCUGGUGUCUUCUAUCCAUCAAAAUCUCUGAAGCAACCUCUAAAUCCGUUUAAAAAUCUGCGAAGAAUAUAUUAUUCCCAUCUACAGAUAAAUGCACCCUAUCUAGCCUAUAAAGCUCUGACUUUUACAAAACAAUAUCUGAAUGGGGGAGGUACUGACCCGAUAAUUUCUCCAUGCCCUUUCUCAUUUCCCUAUUUACUUUACAUCUAGUUCUCUCUAGUGCCCUGGGAUCACCUUUGCCCCUUCACACCAAGUGUGGCAACAUAGCUGAUCAGAUGAUAUAAAUUCCUGGCCCUAACCCUAACCCUAACCCUAACCCUAACCCUGGCCACCUCUUCUCAAUAUAAGCAAAAUCGUACUGUGCUUGAAGACUCAGAGCUUUUUCCAUCAAUAAACCCAGAUCAUUGACACCCAAGUGAACAAGGAGGAUAACAGGGGGUGGGCCCUUGCAUUCUUCAAAAAUUACUGGCAACAAAGCAUUCCAACGUAGACCGUGUUUGCCCAAACAUUCAACCAUGCAGAAUUCGGCCAAGCUCAAUUGUGAGCCAACAGGGCUUCGACGGGAUUGCCACUUCACCCAGUAGAUCAUACUGUGGUCACAGAUCAGGACCCUUUGAUGUAAAAAACUGGGUUUAAAAACUAAAUCUGUUUCUGGGAUUAUUUUGUGUAUCAUUAUCUCAUUGAAAAGGAUUAAUAAAUUUGGGAUAAUUCCCAUUUGAAAAGUUUUAUAGAAGCUUUUGGUAAGACCAUUUGGUCUGGAAAUGAAUUUGGUUUAAGAUUCUUGAUUACCUUGUUGAUUUCCUCAGUAGUUAUCUUCACUUUAAGUAGUAAUUGCUAUUGAAGUUCCAGACAUUUUGUUAUAAUUCCCACUUAUCUUUCCAUUUCCUUUUUGGUAUAUAACUUUUUGUGGUAUCUUGCCAUAAUUUCCUUUAACUCAUCAUCCUUGAAUAUUAGUUGAUCAUUUUCAUCUUUUAGUUUUACUAUUCUAUUACACUCUUUCUUUUUUAGAUAUCUUCCCAGUGUCUUAGAAUUGUUGGUAGAAUUCAUAUAGAGAUUGUUCUUAACAAACAUGUAUUUUUGUUACUUUAAUGUUAUCUAAAUCUUCUAUUUGCUUUUUCAUCUCCCUCCAUCUUUCUUUUUCUGCUCAGUUCUUCUGAAAUUACUGAAACAGGACA
rnacentral:lncRNA from 1 species